ACAACUAUGAACUAAUUAUUAAUUAAUGAAAUUAAUUAGUGUGUGGUUUAAUUAAUGUGAAAAAAACAGUAUAAGGGUGAGCAAUGAGGUUGGUGCUGGGCAUCCAAAAUCAGCAUCAUUUGCAGUGGUGGUUGUAACUACAAGCUCCUUAAUCAUCUCCUUAAUCCUUGCCAUAAUCAUACUUGCACUCCGCCGUUACCUCAGCUAUAUAUUCACUGAGGGCUCCACUGUUUCUAAUGCCGUCGCUGAACUUUCUCCCUUCUUGGCUUGUACUCUUUUACUUAACGGCAUCCAACCUGUUUUGUCUGGUAAUUAAGAACUAUAUGUUUGGAUAAUUAAGUUAAUUAAAACGAAGGAUGCAUGUUCAUUAAUUCUUAAUUGAACUUGUUUUUUAAUUAAUUAAGGGGUGGCUGUUGGGUGUGGAUGGCAAGCAAUCGUGGCAUGGAUUAACGUAGGAUGUUACUACAUCAUUGGUAUCCCACUGGGUUGUGUUCUUGGCUUCAAGCUUGACUUAGGAGCUAAGGUAUGAAUUUAGGGUAGCGAUUUUAAAUCUCGUUUUUCUUAAUCAUUUGCAGUUCGAAACUGAAUAAUUUACACCUUAGAGUGUUAAAAUCACUAGCCAUGAAUUUAUUUACAUAACUUUGGGACUCACUUUUUUUUUUUUCUUUUCCCAUUGAGUCUGUAGGGAAUAUGGUCGGGAAUGCUGGCGGGCACUUUUAUUCAAACUCUUAUACUCUGUUGGAUCACAUUCCGGACUGACUGGAAUAAAGAGGUAACGUUGGCAAACUAGUAUUUCAAUUUGAUUUUUCCCUUCCAAUAAGUUAAUCAUACAAUCAUAUCAUAUAAAUAUAAUUUGGAGCUGUAUCAAGCAUUCAAAUGUAAAUUUUUUUAAUUUUUUUUUUUAAUCAGAUUGCGAAAUCAAAGAUUCGUAUAGAUGAAUGGGAAGACAAGAAGGAGCCUCUUCUCAAUGAAUAGACCCAAGUUUAGGAAACUUGGGACAAAACUCUCGUUUAAAAUAUAAAAAAACUUUGUUUGUCGGAGGGGCAAUUGGCAUGCCUUGUCUUUUUAUAUAAUAUCUUCAGUGACACUGGGCUUUGGUUUUUCUUUUGUCACAUUAAUAUUGUAUGGGAAAUUCUAAUUCAUUAUCUCACUCUUUCGACGCUUAAGCUAAAAUCGAUUACUUUUUUGAGUAAGUUUUAACUCACCACCCUCUAAGAGCACCUCCAACGUCCAACUCAAACCUGGGGGAAAGGCCCUCCUGGCGAGCCCAAGCCACCUUCUGCGCGAGAGAAGAAGCCCGGGCAAUCGCUGGGUCCCACCAACCCUGGCAGGACCAAGGGCAAGUCUUGCCUGGGCUUCAGCCCGAGUUGGGUGACGUCAGCGCACGGUAAUUCAAAUUUUUUUUACCGUUGGCGCGUGAAUUACAAGCGCCAACGGUAAAAAAUAUUUGACUUCCGCACAUCACCCAUGACAGACUCCAACGGGCAUUGACACGUGUCUCAAUCGGGCCUCUCCGAUGGGUUUUUUUCAAGAAAUUCGACGGUCCUCCUUUUUUCGGCUAAAAAAAUACCAAAAAAUUCGGUAUUUUUUCCCUAUAAAUACCUAACCAUUUUAUUUACUUUCCACACCAAAUCUUCAUACAAUUUCUUCUCCAUCCAAUAUUUUUUACUCCCCACUCACAUUAUGCACUUUCCACACCAAUUCUCCAUACAAAGUCUUCUCCUUCCAAUAUUUUUUUUAAUGAAUAUCCGAAAAUUUUAUCUGGAAUAAGACACGUGGCAACCGAGGUUCUCAUCCGAAAAUCUUUUUUGAAAAAUAAUGGACACAUGACAACCAAAAAUAUUAUCCAAAAAUUUAAUUACAAAAUAUUAUCAAAAUUAAUGGUUUAAAGUAUAAAAAAAUAUGAAAUAAAGUACAAUGAAUAGUAUUUGCCUUAGACUUGCCCUAGACUUAGCCCUUAUGGGUGGAGUUGCUCUAAAUGCACAACAUUUUCCACAUCAAGUAAAUAAAAGUGAUAUCGAUGAAGAAAGACGUUUCCCAUUGAAUGAAAAAACCAAGCUAACGAAACAAUUGAAAUCAACAUUUAACAGAAACUUGUUUAUAUAACCAAUUUCAACAAGAGGGACUCACAACUUCUGAACCGUAAUCCGUUGCAGCAGCUCAAGACUUUUGCUCUCUCUCUCUCUCUCUCUCUCAAAAUAAUCUGUUUCAGCUCUCUCUUUAUGAUGAGAUUAGGGUUAGAGAAUGUGUCUGACGAGAGCAGGACCUUAAGUUUAUAUAGGGCUAGGUUAAGUCGUCUCUACUCAUCAUCAAGGGCCGACUUGACUAAUCUUCCAAGCCCACCAAGCAAUGGUUCAUGCAAAAAAAAAAAAAAAAUAGGACCUCUUAGUAGGCUUCAAAAUUUUUCCUUAUUCUACAAAGUUUUGAACCUCAAAGCAUAACCAAAUUUAAACUUUUAUCAAAACCUAAUAUAAUUUAAUAUUUAAUGCACUGAUCCAAAUAGGAAACAUAACAUCCCCAUUCCCAUUCCCAUUGUCCUUUUGAAAGUUGAAAAUCACUCCACAACUCUAGUUUGAGAAGUGGAAUUAUAAGUAGAUAAACUGCCCACUCUUAUAUUGAAGGUACACUAAAAGUUUGUCCUCAAGCUCCGCUGUGGUUAAUGGUCCAUGUGAGAGAGACAAGUGCUCUGCGCCCCCCCACACACACAGAGACCUCUUGGCCCACCUGCAGCAUCACCUUCCAUUCCAUUUCAUUCCUACCUAAUAAAUUGCUAUCUUCUUAUCUACUACUAAAAAGGCAACCAUACAAAUCAUUCAUACUGUCAACUCAAUCAUAAAUUGCAUCAUGUUCAGUUGGCAGCAACUUUUUAUUAUUUUGAUAAUACAUAAGUUGUUUGGGGACGGACGAAUAAGAGUAUAAGAGCUGUGAUAAUGUGAAUAAAUAUUCUUAAUUACUUUUUAGUUAUGAUAUUGUUUCUGAAAAUUUAGCAACAAGUUUAAUAAACCAAAAUUCCUUUUGCCCUGCUGGGAUCGAUCAAGUAAAGGGAUUUACUAGUUGGUUGUUGCAAAGAACAAUUGAUUGAGUGUUCUUCGUUUUCAUCGUUUUGUGGGGGCAGAUGUAGCCAAAUCACAUGCAUGACUCAGUAUGUACUUCAACAACAAACCUUCCGUUACUGUAGGAUUCAAAAGCGAACCUUAUAAUUAUAGCCACCACCGAAUGCAGUCCUAAAUAAAACAAACAAAAAAUUAGAUGUGCAUGCGCGCUUGACCCUAGUAUCUCUCACAUACGUAAUAGCAUAGCAAAUCCAAGCAAUGACCAGGUAAUUACUCGAGUGCAAAAAUGAAUAUUUGCCUUGACAUGACGUUAUUAUUAUUAUUAUUAUUAUCCCUUAUUAUUAAAGCAAAGACAUGAGUGGUAUGCCUUUGAUCUGAUUUGUCAAUAAGAAAAAGAAAAGACAGCCUUUACAUUUAGUAAGGAAACACACAACAGCCACAUUUCAAAAGAAAAUAUAUUUUCUCGAUAUAAUUUAGGUGGCCGAUAUAUUUGACCCAUGCGAGAAAGAAACCCAGGGAGGCACAAACGCCACUCGAGAAGUAGAUGUGACACACCAUAUUAUCCAUGUUCCUUUUAUUUAUUUACAUGUAACGCUCAAUUAAGUCAAAUUUGUUUUUUUAAAUUACUUUUAUUAUAUUUGUUUUUUCUUUUUAUUAACAUGGAUUUGCCAUCGCAUAGCCGUUUCUAAGAUUUUGAGUGUCCUGUGGCGAAACUUAAAUUGGGACCUCACAUAAUCUAAUACGAAAAUACUAUUUAAAAAAAAAAAUUCAUACAUUAAUGUCAUAAAACAACAUUUUCAUCGAUAUCAACAUUUUCAUUCUCAUCAUUCUCAUUAUGCUCAACAAUAUUACCCACACUUUCAUCCAUAUUGUUUUCAGUAUCUUGCAAUUCCUCAACAUUAUCUUCUUGUUGUUCAUUGGAAAUACUUUCAUCAAUUGUAGCAUGUGAUUUUAACAAUGAAUCUAUCUAGAGCUCCUCUUUGAGAUUGAGUCAAUUCCUCGAAUUUUCUUUUUCUAAGUCGUUUUGUAUAUCCAGAAACGUAUUUUCUAGUAGGUGGUAUGUUUAAAUUACAAAGAAAAAUUCUAAAACCCUAUAACCUGGAAAAUAACCCCAACAAGAAAUAGAUAAAUAUUUCUAAAAACUAUAUUUUCUAAUAUAACCAAUCAUCAACAUGAUAAUAAUUUUAAAAAAUAAGUCAUGUAAUAUAUAGAUUGAAAUUGAGAUUUGAUUGAAUAUGACUAUAUGAUUUUGAGUGGUUUUUAUGAAUUUAGGAAUUUAGGUUUUCGCUUUUUUAUAUUAAAUUUCUGAAAUUAAAAGAAUAACAAAAAUUGUCAAAGAAAAAAUAACCAAAGAGAUUGAUGAAUGAUGAUGAUUACUUACUAGAAAAUCAGAGUUUAAGAGAAAGAAGAAGUCAUGAAGUUUUUUAUUUUUUUAUUUUUUAUAGUGGAAGAAAGUACUUUGAUACUCGUACAAAAGAGAUUGAUAUAAUUGCUACUAGUUAGCUUAGUUUGAUGUUUCCCUUUUUUUAAAAACCUGUUUCUGUUUCAUUUAUUUAUAAUUAUUUAAAGUUUGUUGUUACACACACUUGAUUUUCGAGGGUCGCAAUGACGCCACUUGCACCACCUCAGGGCCGUAUAUAUAUAUAUAUAUAUAUAUAUAUAAUAAAAGCAGAGCUUAUGAGCUGCAGUGGAAGGCUAAGUUUUAUUUAUUUAUAAUUAUUUAAAGUUUGUUGUUAUACACACUUGAUUUUCGUGGGUCCUGUACGGUGGCGCCACUUGCACCGCCCCAGAGCCGUAUAUAUAUAAGCAGAGAUUAUGAGCUGCUCACAGUGGAAGGUAGAGAGAGAGAGAGAGAGAGGAGAGAGAGAGGAGAGAGAGAGCAAGCUAUCAUGGAGCCUUCUAGUGAUAACGAGCCCUCUGAGCCCCUCUUGCUUUCCAAAUCAUCUUCGAUGCAUAUAGUGAGCCGUGAACUGGAAGACACACUAAACAACACUGAACUCUCAUACUUCCAGCGCCUCCGAACCGGCACAUGGCUUGAGCUGAAGAUCCUCUUCCGCCUGGCAGCUCCGGCGGUGGUGGUUUACUUGCUCAACAAUGUCAUAUCCAUGUCCACCCAAAUCUUCUGUGGCCAUCUUGGCAACCUUGAACUCGCUGCCUCCUCUCUUGGCAACACUGGCAUUCAAGUUUUCGCCUAUGGCCUCAUGGUACAACUAGUUAAUUAAUUAAUUUUGCCUAUGUUCUUUUAUCGAAUAUAAGUGAAAUAUGGUAUGUUUAAUGAACAAUCUGACAACAUAACAUAUUGAUUGGAUUGUUAUGUUCCCAGGGAUUAGGAUUAAUUUGGUAUAAUUAAUUCAUGUGUGUUUUUGGUGCAGCUUGGUAUGGGUAGUGCAGUGGAGACACUGUGUGGUCAAGCCUAUGGUGCACAUAAGUACGACAUGCUAGGCAUAUAUAUGCAGCGAUCGACAAUCCUCCUCCUAGCAACUAGCAUCCCACUGAUGAUAAUUUACAUCUUCUGCAAGCAAAUCUUGUUAGGCCUAGGUGAAUCAGCCUCCAUUGCUGCCGCGGCAGCGAUCUUUGUCUACGGUCUCAUCCCUCAAAUCUUUGCCUACGCCUGCAACUUCCCCAUACAAAAGUUCCUCCAAGCCCAGAGCAUAGUGUUCCCUAGCGCCUACAUAUCGCUGGGGGCACUGGUAGUGCACAUAGUGCUAAGUUGGGUGGUGGUGUACAAAUUGGGAGGGGGCCUGUUGGGCGCCGCGUUGAUUUUGAGUUUUUCGUGGUGGAUUAUAGUGGUGGCGCAAUUUGUUUACAUAUUGUGGACGCCAAGGUGCAAACGCACAUGGAGAGGGUUUAGCAUCAGGGCAUUUUCUGGGCUGUGGGGCUUUUUGAAAUUGUCUGUGGCAUCUGCCGUCAUGCUUUGCCUGGAGACUUGGUACUAUCAAAUUAUAGUUUUGCUGGCUGGGUUGCUUAAAAAUGCUGAAAUUGCAUUGGACGCUCUCUCUAUUUGGUGAGCAAAAUCAAAGCUAUUAACUAUAGUUAAUUAGUUUGCCACUUAACCUUAAUAAUCAGAUCAGAAGGUCCACUCACUCUUGCUCUGCUUAAUUAGCACCACUCACAAAAAAACAACAAAAAUCAAAAUUUGGUAGCUACUAGUCUGGUAGCUGGGCACAACAACUAGUCAAUUCAUUUUUAUUUAUUUUUAAGCUUUGACCAAAGUCAAUGUUUUAUGAAACGCUCAGAAACUGUGUCUGUAUUUCUUUCUACAUGGUUUUCAUGUGAUGAGGAGGAAACAUGCUUUGCAUGCUUUCUUAAGCAGUUACAGAUCUUAAAACCUGCCCUGCGUGCGUUCAAGUAUUUGAUAUUAGCUAGCGUAGCGUCGUAAAAUAGUGGUAGUCAAACUGCAAAAAGAUAUAAACAAAGUGUGUGUGCCUGUCAGAUUGUGGUCAGCUGUGUCGUUUGUAUUCGUAUAUAUAUAUAAUUGUUUUCUUUGUAUUCUUUACGUCACAGUCACAUGAAAAAAUGUUGGACAUGCAUGUUUCACUAUCUAAUAUCUAAUAAAAAUUAUUAUCUUUUAAUUUAUGAUGGGUUAUUAAUUGAUGCAGCAUGACCAUAACUGGAUGGGUCUUCAUGAUUGCUGUGGGGUUCAAUGCUGCUGCAAGGUCAGUAAAUUUCACAAAACACAAGACAUUACCGGAUGCAGAGAUAACUGUUCUUAACUACUUGAGCUAGCAAUUAUUUGAGAACUAAUUGAUGAAUAAAUAAUUAUGCAGUGUGAGGAUUGGAAAUGAGCUUGGGGCAGGACAUCCAAAAUCGGCAGCAUUUGCAGUGGUGGUGGUGACUUCAAGCUCCUUCAUCAUAUCGGCGGUGUGCGCCAUAAUUGUGCUUGUUUUACGACAUGAUAUAAGUUAUGUGUUCACUGAGGGAGAAACAGUCUCCAAUGCCGUCUCAGACCUUUCCCCGUACCUAGCCAUAUCUAUCGUUCUCAAUGGCAUCCAACCUGUUUUGUCUGGUACGUGUGAUUGAUCAAGUUUUAUUUUCUUUUUUUUGUCGGUAUGUGUUGGCAGACCAUGAAUGUCUAAUAAAUCCAGAAACCAAACAGUCAACGAUCUAAAAGUCUACGUGAUGGACUUAGUAGUUGAACAUCAAGAUCACACGACGUAGCCCUAUUUUCGAUCAAAAUCUGCCUCUUCUGUGUGUCGUUUUUUGACUUUACCAUGCAAUGCAAUGUGCGUUUUGGAGUGUCGUUCUGGAUAUAUAUUCCCUAAUGUAGGAUUCUAUAUUUUGGGCCAAAAACAAAAGGAGUGGCUGUCGGGUGCGGAUGGCAAGCAUUUGUGGCAUAUGUUAACGUGGGAUGUUACUACAUCAUUGGGAUCCCAUUGGGUUGCCUUCUUGGAUUCAAGUUCGAUUUCGGAGCUCAGGUGAUAAUACUAUUUUCCUAUUUUUAGCACUUUAAUUAUAUAUAUUGUUUGUGGUUUUAUGUAUAAUUAAUUUUAGGUUUGCUUUAAUUCUGUCAGGGAAUAUGGACUGGCAUGAUAGGAGGCACUUUUAUACAGACAAUCAUCUUACUGUGGGUCACAUAUCGGACUGACUGGAACAAAGAGGUUAGCCUAAUCUAUAAUAAUUAACUACUUUAAUCUCACUAUCAAUUGGACAGUUAUAUUUAGAAUAACGUUAAAUAAUUGUUUGCAGGUUGAAAAAGCACAGAGUCGUUUGGACACUUACGAGGACAAGAAGGAUUCCGAUGAUGAAGUGCUGACCAAUUAGUCGAGUUUUCAACUUGCUCUUUUCUUUUUUCUCUGGCGGACGUCGGGGAGGUUACAUGAGUUUUGCUUGCUUUUUACGUGCAUGGAAAGUUUUGCAUUAUUGUAAUAACGUUCCUUUCCUUGAUUAGGAAGGAAGUCCAAAAAUAUUUUAAACUUGAUGAGGAGGAGAAAGGGUUUAUUUUGUGGCUGGUCUGUUUUGUUGUAUUAGGCUGCCCUCAUCUUGUCAUUUUGGGCCAACCUGCUUAUAUCAAAUCCAAGAAUUGCAGUUGGUCUGUUUUAGUAAUUUCCACUGCAAUGUGUGUGACAUUGCAAAAGAAAACCUCUAGGGUCGACACGCGUAGGUCCAAACAAGUCAAAGUAAAAGCUAAUUGAGAACAACAGACGUAAGAAGACAGCUGUUUUUCCAUAACAUAGAAAGAGAAAUCGAGUAGCUAAAUCAUGCCAUGCGUCACAAAAUUCGCCUCAUGAAACACAUAUGAUUUAUUUUACUAGUGCGACAACCAGGGCUCAUCAUCAGUGCCCACUGCCCAGCAAGCAAUGAUGCAUGCGCUUAAACAGACGACCCGUCAAUACUGAUCAAUUUUAAAUAUUUCAACUGAUGACGAAAACAAUGGUUUCUCCUUCAUUUAGAAGAAUUUAGAAAGGGAAUUUAUCUCAAAACCGCUUAUAAUCAAAUCAGGAUUUUGAUAAGAAAUCGAAUUUUACUUCAAACAUUUAGACAAUGACAUAGCUGAUCUAUAUGUUUGUAAAUUAAUUUUGUAGUUAAAUAACAUAAGAAAAAUAAGAAAAUUGAGUUUCCAUUACAUUACGAAACUUGUAAUAACUUUUAUGUAUAGUCUUUAGUAAGAGGUUUUAAUUUCAAAUCUUUCUUCUAAUUUAUAUAAAAUAAAAUACAAAAAGAUUAGCGCGAUGCCCAAAUAAACUUAUUUCCAUCCCCACAUCUUGUCUGGCUAUAGUUGUUGCUUUUUAACUUUUCAUCCGCCUGCAUCAUUCAUCUGGGCAGCUUUCUUUCACUUUCCCAGUAGCCCGGGGGCAUUAAUCAUGUAUUGCCUUUCACUUUCAAUGUUGUUUCAUUAAUUCUGGCUCCCGUGCUAUGGAAAAAACUUAUUCUAUAACGAGGGUAUCACUGUUUUGUUAUUCCCGGCUAAUAACACAAUAACAUGUGCAAAAGUUAUUUCACGUGUCAUUGUGUUAUUGAUUGGGGAUAGCGAAAAGUUAUAUUCCCGUUGCAUGAGAGUUUCCCUCCAUGCUCUACUAUGUACUAGCUUCAGUUUCAAUAAAGUACCAAUUGGUAUAGUCCAACUCCUUGUAAGUAAGCCCUUGUAAUAUUUUCUAAUUUUCCAAUGUGUUGGUGGAACAUUUUUAUAUUUACAUUUUCACAUGUCAUUGCACGUGUGACGAAUUUUCAAAUUUAAUACGUGGAUAAUAUAUAGUGGAUGACGUGGAGCACAUAUAGGAUGUAACCAUUAGGCUUUCACAUGUGAACAAACCUAUUUUGAUGUCAUGAAGGAGAUUGAGAUUCCACCCAAAAUCAGACCCCAAAAAAAAAAAAAAAUCACACAUCGUAUCGAAAACAAACUUGUUCUCUUACAUGGGGCCUUGUCGUUUAGUAUAAUUGCUCCUCAUUAUUAAUCCUUCCAAGCACCCAUUUCCUCGAUAUAUCAAAUUUUUGCAGAUGCCACAAACACCUUGAUUGUAUAGUUGUAAGUCCAAAUGGUCAAUGAUCAAGACCAACUCCGCCAACCCAUCUUAGACUCCGAACCCGACUCAACAGCACUCGAAGCCUCCAACCAAGGCGAUGGCUUGGAGUCUCCACUUGAGAAGGUGCUAUCUGACACCCAACUGCCCUCCUUCAAGAGACUCCGCUUGGCCACAUGGAUUGAACUCAAUCUCCUCUUUCGCCUUGCAGCCCCUGCCGUCCUGGUUUAUGUCGUUAACAACUUCAUGUCACUUUCCACUCGUGUCUUCGCCGGCCACCUCGGCAACCUUGAGCUCGCUGCAGCCUCCCUUGGCAACAGCGGCGUCCAACUCUUCGCCUACGGCCUCAUGGUACACGUCCCACAACCUUAACUCUUGUUAUGUUUCACUCUGUCAACUAAGAGUUGACGUGUCAAAUUGUUAUGUUUCACUCUUGUUAUGUUGUCAUUCUUAUCUUUUGCCGUCUGUCUGGGUCUUGUCUCAUGCAGUUAGGCAUGGGAAGUGCGGUGGAGACUCUAUGUGGACAAGCCUACGGUGCCGAAAAAUAUGACAUGUUAGGCAUAUACCUCCAAAGAGCAACCAUAGUCCUAACCCUCACAGGCCUUCCACUGCUUCUCAUCUUCCUUCUAUCCAAACCCAUCUUGAUCUUAUUUGGUGAGACACCAAAGCUGGCUGCAGAAGCCGCCGUUUUCGUCUACGGUCUCAUCCCACAAAUCUUUGCCUACGCCAUCAACUUCCCGAUGCAAAAGUUUCUUCAAGCCCAGAGAAUUGUGGCCCCAAGUGCCUACAUAUCAGCAGCUACACUUGGAGUGCAUAUACUGUUGAGCUGGGUAGCUGUGUACAAGUUGGGCAUGGGGUUGAUAGGUGCGUCGUUGGUUCUGAGCUUGUCGUGGUGGAUCAUAGUUGGGGCCCAGUUUAUUUACAUCCUAAAGAGCAGUCGGUGCAAGGAGACGUGGAGUGGUUUUAGUUUGCAAGCGUUUUCUGGGUUGUGGGAUUUUCUGAAACUAUCGGCUGCGUCGGCUGUGAUGCUGUGCUUGGAGACUUGGUACUUUCAGGUGCUAGUGUUGAUUGCUGGGUUGCUUGAGAACCCUGAGCUCGCGUUAAAUUCUUUGGCCGUAUGGUAAGAACAAAAAUCAUCUGGUGGUGAUGCCUAAUUAAUUUUCAUUGUCUACAGUAACUUCAAAUAAAAAUAUGGGUUUGACUGGGACUACCGAAAUAUCGAAAUCAUAAUGAUUGGUCAUCAUCAGUGUUUUUAUAAGGACAUCCAUGAGAUGAGACCGCAAGACAUUAUUGAUCACAAAACGACACAUGUCAUGAGUCAUUCCCCAAUUUUUUCUAUCACACAGGAACAUAUAUAUAUAUAGACAUGUCUUUACUUUUUGGUUGGACUAUAUAUAGAAUAUAUAGAUACACAUAUGUCAUCCACCCAUCAAGUCCUCUUCUCGUAGACUCUAUAGCCAAGGAAUUUGUGGUCAUCACUCUUAAAUCUAAUCCAAAGGUGGAUAAAAUAUUUAUUUUAAAUUCAAGAAUGAUGACCACAAACUCCUUGAAUUAAAGGGGCAUGCAUGUAUACACGUAGAAAUUUAUGGAUUUAAUUUUAGUGUUGGUUUCGUGGCCUUAUGCAUGCAGCAUGGCGAUAUCUGGAUUGUUGUUCAUGGUUUCAGUCGGGUUUAAUGCGGCUGCAAGGUAUAAUAUUGGAUUAAUUAUAAAAAUAAUUAAGUGUAAUAUUAUGGAUAUCAAAUUAACAUUCAGUUAAUGAUAUUGUAUAUAUGUGGGAACAGUGUGAGGGUAAGCAACGAGCUAGGUGCUGGGAAUCCAAAGUCAGCAGCAUUCUCAAUUCUAGUGGUAACAAUUGUGUCGUUAAUGAUUGCUGUCGUGGAAGCUGUGGUUGUGCUCUCCUUCCGUGACGUAAUCAGUUACGCCUUCACCGACGGUGAAACAGUGGCCAAUGCCGUCUCCCACCUCACUCCUUACUUGGCCAUCACUCUUAUCCUUAACGGAAUUCAACCAGUCCUGUCCGGUAAGCACUCUUAUCCAUCCAGCUAGCCACCAUCAAUCAGGGAUCAAAUUGGAUUUUAAUUAUAGUUAUAUCCGAUAUGAUAUCUUUUUGGCUGGUGUAUUGUAAAGACAAGACUCUAGAGUCAUAUGUGUGAGGCUGGUGUAUAUAAUAAUAUAUAUAUGUAAAGACAAGACACUAGAGCGAUAUGUGUGAGGUGUCAAAUGAGUCGAUCCGACCUGACACGAAUAUGUCAAAAGCACGAUUUUAAAUAGGCCGGCUCAAUUCAGUUUGACCCGUUUAAGACCUCUUCGUGUGAUAUUUUUUCCACUUGAUUGAACACUAAUUCUUGACUCGUCGUUGUGAUCAUAUAAGAAGACAACAUAAGUAUAUUUCAAAAUAGUGGUCCAUCUGCAGAGAAAAUACACCAAGUUAAUCAACAUAUAUAUAUAUAUAUAUAUAUAUGGUAUUGAAUUGAAUUGCAGGGGUGGCCGUUGGAUGUGGAUGGCAAGCAUUUGUGGCGUAUGUGAAUGUUGGAUGCUAUUACGUGGUUGGGAUCCCAAUUGGUUGUCUUCUUGGAUUUAAGUUCGACCUUGGUGCGGAGGUAACUAUAUAUAAUAAUACUUGUUCCAACUUAGCAUACAUUGAUUUUUUUUUAAAUUUAAUAAGAAAAAUUAUUUUAUGCCAUGUGCAUGUCAAGUGCCACUGAAUUGGACAGGAAAAUGUUGGGUUAAGAAGGACAAACUGCAUGAAAACUUUGUUUUGAAUAUGUGAAAAAAGUAAUUGGAAAUGAACAUGCAGGGGAUCUGGUCGGGGAUGAUAGGAGGAACAUUCAUGCAGACUAUCAUCUUACUGUGGGUAACAUUUCGAACGGACUGGAACAAAGAGGUAAUUUCAAUGAACAUUCUUGCACAUGUUAAAGUUUUCCUAAAUAGGAGAAUCGAGCCUUUUGACAGUCCACAAUGAUUGAAGCCCACUCUUGAUAUUCCUUUUAAGGGUGGUUUAGUAUAACGGACUGUCGUAGACUUAACUAAAUAUUGGUACUAUUUUGGAUUGGCAUAAGUUGGAUAACACUUGUACAACGUUUGGUAUAUAUUUGAUUGGACAAGGACAAUUUUUUUUCCAACUUUUCUUCUCUAUCCAUCUCUUUCCUUGUCUUCCUCUAUGCUUCUCUUUCAUCUUCUCCAUUUUCUCUCCUCUUCUUUUGUCUAAUUUUCUUUUUUGAAAAUUUUCUCUCCUCUUCUCAGUUUUUUUUUUUUUUUUUUUUUGGCGUGGAAAAUUUUAUCCUCUCCUCUUCCUCUUCUAUUAUGUCUUCUCCUUCUUGGGCGACUGUGGCUGGUGGUCAUGUUUAGUGGUUGUGGAUGGUGGUCGUUGCUGGUGGUUGUGGUUGCCGCUUGGUGGGUCGGUGGUUGUGAGGCGAUUGGGUGGGGUUGGUUGCUUGUUGCUUGGGUCAAGACUAUUAGUCCCUCCUCUCUAGACAAGUUUCGCUAAGAACACUUAAGGAGGUGUUUUUGGUGGGCUUAGUAUUAGUUAAUCUCACUUAAAAUUAGAGCCGUAUAAAAUAAAUAUGGGAUAAAAUCUUAACCAAGCUGUUAGAGACCCUUCAUAUUCAUGACAGUUACAGCAAGUUAGGGAGAUUUCUGUUACAUUUGUUAAUACCCAUCAUUGCCUUGUUGUCUGUUACAAUUCGGAUAUAACUCCCAGACCAUUGCAGCUUAUAUAAAAUCCAUGUAAUACUGUGUAUUUAGAUAUGAAAAGAAUCUGUUUCUACAUGGUAUCUAGAGCCUCCAUUUUUCCUUAAAAAUUUUCUGCUUCUCUUCCUUUCCAUGGCGUCCUCCUCCUCCUCCUCCUCCUCCUCCUCUUCGUCUAGUGUUCUCUCCUUCCCCAAUUUCUCUACUCUUGUCUCCACCAAACUCUCGGAAACCAAUUACCUUCUUUGGGAAAGUCAAGUUCAACCCUAUCUUAUUGGGCAAAAUUUUUGGCGAUUCAUCGAUGGUUCUCACCCAUGCCCUCCUGCUGUUCUCACUCCCUCCACAGACAAAGCUGUUGACACUGCUCAGGCCCUCGUGGCUCCUGUCCCUAACCCAGAAUAUCUUACCUGGUAUCAAACCGAUCAAUCUCUUAUCAGUAUUCUUCGUUCCACUCUCACCGAGCCGGUUCUUGCUCAAGUUGUUGGUCUCACCACUUCCCAAGCAGUCUGGGAUUGUCUUCGUCAGAACUUUUCUCAACAAUCUCUUGCUAAUGCCACCCAUCUCAAGUUUCAACUUCUCACCAUCACCAAAGGGACUAAGACAGUUUCUGAAUAUCUUGCUCUUGCCAAGAGCUUAUCUGAUCAGCUGGCAGCCAUACGUGCCCCAGUUUCCUCUGAUGAUUUGGUCAGCUAUGUGAUUCGUGGCUUGGGCCCCGACUACGCCAUGCUUAUCACUGCUAUCCUGCAAUUUCCUCCCUUACCUACCUUUGCUGAUCUUCGUGCUCGUCUCCUCGCCUUCGAUGCUCAACAAUCUCUCACUACUCUCAUGGCCUCUUCACCACCACCGCAAGCCUUUUAUUCCUCCCAUCCCCCACCUUCUCGUUCUGGCCAUCCUCGUGGUUCCCGUGGUGCACGCCAUGGUUCCCAGUUUCACCGCUCUGGGCCUUCCUCUAGUGCCUCAACCCGUCCUACUUUUUCAAGUUCACACCAGCCUCAUAACCGGUCAUCCCGCUCCUUCCAGCCCACCCCUAGCGUUUUGGGGCCUCCUCCGACACCACGCCCCUCUCUUCAAUGUUGGAACUGCCAACAAUUUGGCCAUAUUGCUGCUCGGUGCCCACUGUCUUCUCGUGAUGCUGACUUCUCUCCUCAUUUUGCUGGCAUGCAUAUCUCUCAAACUUCUGACCCCAAUUGGUACUUGGACUCUGGUGCCACCAAUCACAUGACCAAUGAUGCCCGCACAUUGACAAAUGUCUCCUCCACUUCUGAUCAAGUCCUCAUUGGUAAUGGUGCCUCCCUUCCCAUUACUCACUCUGGUAAUGUCGCCUUUUCCUCUGGCUCCUUUGCCUUUAAUUUAUCCGAUGUCCUUCUCGUUCCCUCUCUUCACAAAAAUCUUAUUUCUAUCGCUCAACUUACUCACGAUAAUCCUGUUAGUAUUACUUUUGUUUCUUCCGGAUAUGUUAUUCGACACUUACCCAUAGGCGUUAUUCUCUUUCAGGGCCGAUGUAGUGAUGGCCUUUAUCCGGUCUUGCCCUCCCUUGCCUCCAAGUUGGUUUCAUGCUCCAAGUCCGCUUUCUCUUCCACCGUCUCGUCGUCAUCCCUUUGGCAUCAUCGUUUGGGUCAUCCGUCCAAUAAAGUGCUUAGUGCCUUAGUCUCUCAGUCCUUGUUAGGUUCUCCUUUUCGGUUAUCUAAUAAUUCAUGUAGCCAUUGUGCCUUGGCAAAGUCAGUUCGUCUUCCUUUUUCAUCUCGUGCCCAUUGUUCCCAUGAACCCUUUCAUUUAAUACAUUCUGAUGUUUGGAUGUCUCCAGUUGCUUCUUUUUCUGGUUUUCGGUAUUAUGUACUUUUUACUGAUGAUUUUACUCGUUUCUCAUGGAUUUUUCCUAUGCGACUUAAAUCGGAAGUCUUUCAUCAUUUUUCUACAUUUGUCUCUUAUGUUGAAACCCAAUUUUCUAUGCAUGUUAAACAGUUUCAAAGUGAUGGAGGAAAGGAAUUUGAUAAUGGAAACUUUAAACAAUUUUGUGCUUCCAAAGGUAUUAUUCACCGCUUCUCAUGUCCCCAUACCCCACAACAAAAUGGCCUUGCUGAGCGCAAACAUCGCCAUAUUGCCGACAUGGGUCGUACCUUACUUCUUACUGCCCAUCUUCCUUUUACUUUUUGGGUUGAGGCCUUUUGCACUGCUGUCUACUUAAUCAAUCGUCUUCCUACCCCGCUUCUCAAGUGGGACACGCCUUUUCGGCGGUUGUUUCGGAAAGACCCGGAUUAUUCUUUUAUCCGAACAUUUGGGUGUACAUGCUAUCCGUAUCUUGGUGCUUAUGUUUCUCACAAGUUACAACCUCGUUCUCUUGCUUGUGUUUUUCUUGGCUACAGUGCAAAUCAUCGCGGAUAUCGCUGCUAUCAUCCUCCCACCGGGCGUGUAUACCAUUCUAGACAUGUUGUCUUUCACGAGCAUGAUUUUCUCUAUUCUGCUCCUACCUCAACGCCAUCACAUGCCACAGCUGCCAAUGGUUUGGUCUCUGUUCCAGUCGUCACAGCUUCCUCCCCACUCCAUGGGCCUGCUGCCUCUCCUCUAGAUAUUGGGCCACAGUCACUUUUGGAGCCCAUUUCCCCCCUUACACAGUCAGCCCAUGUGGAGCCACCUGGUCUUGUGGCCGCCAACUUGAAUUCAUCUCCAUCACCUGCUCUGGUCAUCACCCCAGCAUCCGCACCAACAGCUGCCACCCAUCUCUCGGCUCCAGCCCCCUUGGCUCCAGCACCGACCGACUCCACACCUGUAUCGGCUACAGCACCUCCCUCUCCGUCUGCUCCAGCACCAUCGCCAGCCGUCGCUCCACAACUCCCGCCUCCAGCACAGGUUUCCGACAGGCCUCCUGCUCCUCCCUCUGCUCGGACAAGCCCAGUUCACACACGGUCCAAAUCCGGCAUCUUCAAAACCAAGUUUCGUUCUAAUUUCAUGGUUCGCUAUCCUAUUCCUUCAGCGUUCCUUGCUUUGGCUGAUUCUGAUCUUGAGCCUACAUGCUACACCCAUGCCUCUCGGUUUUCUCAUUGGCGACAAGCUAUGUAUGAUGAGUUUAAUGCGCUUCUUAAGCAGGGCACUUGGUCAUUGGUUCCCUUGCCCCUUUCUGUUCGUGCUGUCGGUUGCAAGUGGGUUUUCAAAAUCAAACGCAACUCUGAUGGAAGUAUAGAACGUUACAAGGCCCGUUUGGUGGCCAAGGGUUAUCAUCAACAACCAGGCAUUGACUAUUUUGAUACCUACAGCCCUGUUGUCAAACCUACCACUAUUCGCACUGUACUAAGUCUUGCAAUCUCUUCUGGUUGGACUCUUCGUCAAUUAGACGUCAACAAUGCGUUCCUUCAUGGUACUCUUUCUGAGGACGUAUAUAUGCAGCAACCUCCUGGAUUUAUUGAUCCUACUCGGCCCCAACAUGUUUGCAAACUCCAUAAAGCUCUCUAUGGCCUCAAACAGGCUCCUCGUGCAUGGUUUCAGCGCCUCAGCUCUUUCCUCAUUUGUUAUGGGUUUCUCCAAAGCCGUGCCGACUCCUCCAUGUUUAUUUUUCGGAACAACUCUCACAUGAUGGUCUUACUUCUUUAUGUCGACGACAUUGUUCUCACCGGUAGUAGUACUUCUUCCCUUCUGAAUUUCAUUCGCAUCUUGGGCACUGAAUUUGAUCUCAAAGAUCUUGGGCACCUCAAUUAUUUCCUGGGUAUGGAGGUGACUUAUUUGUCUGGUAGUCUUCAUCUCACACAGAAUAAAUAUACCAUUGAUUUACUCCAACGCAGUAACCUGUUGGAGUGCAAGCCUUGCUCCACACCCAUGGCCUCGAAAGGCUCCUUAUCCCGCACCACUGGUCAUCCUCUAUCUGACCCCUCCAUUUAUAGGCAGCUGGUUGGCACUCUCCAGUACUUAACUCUCACUCGUCCGGACAUUGCCUACGCGGUUCAAUUUGUGUCUCAGUUUAUGGGCUCUCCUACUGAUCUUCACAUGGAAGCUGUCAAACGCAUUCUUCGAUACCUCAAGGGCACUCUUGGUCAUGGUUUACCUUUCCAUCCGUCCCCCCACUCCACCAUUCUUGUUGCCUAUUCGGAUGCUGACUGGGCAGGUUGCCCCGAUACACGUCGCUCAACAACUGGCUAUUGCGUGUUCUUAGGGUCCAAUUUAAUUUCCUGGAGUGCUAAGAAACAACGUACGGUUUCCCGCUCUAGUGCCGAGGCAGAAUACCGCGCCCUCGCCUAUGCCUGCGCUGACACCAUUUAGAUACAGGGUCUCCUUCGUGAAUUACACUUCCCGCUCCACCACCCCGUUCUCCUCAAUUGUGACAAUCUCUCUGCGACUUACAUGGCUGCCAAUCCUGUUUUUCAUGCCCGCACGAAACAUGUUGCUCUUGAUUAUCACUUUGUUCGCGAACGUGUUGCCUCCGGCACCCACAAAGUUUCCUUCAUCCCCUCUGCUGCUCAGCUUGCUGAUGUCUUUACCAAAGGCCUUCCUACCGACCGCUUUGCUCGCCUUGUCUCCAAACUUGUCUCUCCUCCGCCGCCAAGUUUGCGGGGGAGUGUUAGAGACCCUUCAUAUUCAUGACAGUUACAGCAAGUUAGGGAGAUUUCUGUUACAUUUGUUAAUACCCAUCAUUGCCUUGUUGUCUGUUACAAUUCGGAUAUAACUCCCAGACCAUUGCAGCUUAUAAUCCAAUCCAAACUUGCACGGUGUAACAAACACCCCGUUAUUGUGCUUAAAGCCUAUUAGAAACCUAGUUGGAACUUGAACAGCUCAACAUGAACUGAAUUGGAAUUGUGUUUAAAUCAGUCAUUCUCUUCUAAAAAAUUAGACCCACCAAACAUGGCAUUUAAUCAUUUGCACAUCUUAAUUAUUUUGAGGUAUCGAAUUGUUUUUAGGUGGAAACAGCCGGGAAACGUUUGAAAAAAUGGGAAGACAAGAAGCUGCCUCCUCCUCUUCUGAAAAGCUGAUGUGCUCAAAUUUAAACAAGCUUUUCUAGUCUGUUGUUGCUCGAUCGGGACAACCCAACUUCAUAUUUUACUGAAUAAUUCUGAUGAUCAAAUACAUUUGUAAUGUGUUAAUAAACAUAUGGGAGUCGAAUGGUGUGCAAGUCAAAAUUCUUUUUAAUUGAACUAGACGUCUUUUGGCAGAACCAUGUCCAUUUUUUGUGGGUCUGAUUUUAAAUGAAUUGGUUGGUUAGCUUCCUAGUCCAUGCUACUAGUAAAUGCGCCAAUCAGGUCUCGUCAGUGCCCAGCAACGCAGCAAUGACAAGUCACAAUCAAUUGAAAGUAAGUAUAAAUGUUGAGUAACUAUAAAAAUACAAAUCAUGAACUUAAACGGACGACCCGUCACCUCAAUACUGAAUGCAUGAUCGAUAAAGCAUAUUUCUCCCCUUUAUAUAUUUUUGCAACUUCAUAUCAUAUAUAUUAGGGCUUUAUAGCCUGAUGCCGAAAUAAACUUAUUUCCUCCCACAUCGUGUCGAAAAAGAAUUCCUUGCCGUACCGUCAAUAUUAUUCUUUCCAAGCACCCAUUUCGUUUUCGUCCAACAAAAAAAGCAGCCAUUUGCUGGAUAGAUCAAAUUGUGGCAAAGCCUCCACAAACACCAUAACCAUAGUUUGUUAGUCCAAUAUGGUCAAUGAUCAAGACCAACUCCGCCAACCCAUCUUAGACUCCGAACCCGACUCAGCAGCAGCCGAAGCCUCCGGCCAUGGCGAUGGCUUGGAGUCUCUACUUGAGAAGGUGCUAUCUGACACCCAGCUGUCCUCCUUCAAGAGACUCCGCCUGGCCUCUUGGAUUGAACUCAAGCUCCUCUUUCGCCUUGCAGCCCCUGCCGUCUUGGUGUAUAUCGUUAACUACCUCAUGUCACUUUCCACUCGUGUCUUCGCCGGCCACCUCGGCAACCUUGAGCUCGCCGCCGCCUCCCUCGGCAACAGCGGCGUCCAACUCUUCGCCUACGGCCUCAUGGUACACGUCCCACAACCUCAACUCUUGUUAUGUUUCACUCUGUCAACUAAGAGUUGAUGUGUCACAUUGUUAUGUUUCACUCU
rnacentral:lncRNA from 1 species